rnacentral:rRNA from 1 species
GACGAACGCUGGCGGCGUGCCUAAUACAUGCAAGUUGAGCGCUGAAGGUUGGUACUUGUACCAACUGGAUGAGCAGCGAACGGGUGAGUAACGCGUGGGGAAUCUGCCUUUGAGCGGGGGACAACAUUUGGAAACGAAUGCUAAUACCGCAUAAAAACUUUAAACACAAGUUUUAAGUUUGAAAGAUGCAAUUGCAUCACUCAAAGAUGAUCCCGCGUUGUAUUAGCUAGUUGGUGGGGUAAAGGCUCACCAAGGCGAUGAUACAUAGCCGACCUGAGAGGGUGAUCGGCCACAUUGGGACUGAGACACGGCCCAAACUCCUACGGGAGGCAGCAGUAGGGAAUCUUCGGCAAUGGACGAAAGUCUGACCGAGCAACGCCGCGUGAGGGAAGAAGGUUUUCGGAUCGUAAAACUCUGUUGGUAGAGAAGAACGUUGGUGAGAGUGGAAAGCUCAUCAAGUGACGGUAACUACCCAGAAAGGGACGGCUAACUACGUG